rnacentral:rRNA from 2 species
CUUGGAAGAUGAAAGUGGGGGGGGGAAAAGCUGGGCGGCGUGCCUAAUACAUGCACGUCGAGCGGACGGAUGGGAGCUUGCUCCCUGAAGUCAGCGGCGGACGGGUGAGUAACACGUGGGCAACCUGCCUGUAAGACUGGGAUAACUCCGGGAAACCGGGGCUAAUACCGGAUAACUCUUUUCCUCACAUGAGGAAAAGCUGAAAGAUGGUUUCGGCUAUCACUUACAGAUGGGCCCGCGGCGCAUUAGCUAGUUGGUGAGGUAACGGCUCACCAAGGCCACGAUGCGUAGCCGACCUGAGAGGGUGAUCGGCCACACUGGGACUGAGACACGGCCCAGACUCCUACGGGAGGCAGCAGUAGGGAAUCUUCCGCAAUGGACGAAAGUCUGACGGAGCAACGCCGCGUGAGUGAUGAAGGUUUUCGGAUCGUAAAACUCUGUUGUCAGGGAAGAACAAGUACCGGAGUAACUGCCGGUACCUUGACGGUACCUGACCAAAAACCCCGGCUAACUACUGCCACACCGCGGUAA